CCUACGGGGGGCUGCAGUGAGGAAUAUUGGUCAAUGGGCGCUAGCCUGAACCAGCCAAGUAGCGUGAAGGAUGACUGCCCUAUGGGUUGUAAACUUCUUUUAUAUGGGAAUAAAGUGCAGUAUGUAUACUGCUUUGCAUGUACCUUAUGAAUAAGGAUCGGCUAACUCCGUGCCAGCAGCCGCGGUAAUACGGAGGAUCCGAGCGUUAUCCGGAUUUAUUGGGUUUAAAGGGAGCGUAGGUGGAUUGUUAAGUCAGUUGUGAAAGUUUGCGGCUCAACCGUAAAAUUGCAGUUGAAACUGGGGGCCUUGAGUGGGCGAGAAGAAGGCGGAAUGCGUGGUGUAGCGGUGAAAUGCAUAGAUAUCACGCAGAACCCCGAUUGCGAAGGCAGCCUUCCGGCGCCCUACUGACGCUGAGGCACGAAAGUGCGGGGAUCGAACAGGAUUAGAUACCCGAGUAGUC
rnacentral:rRNA from 1 species